UAGACGUACAAGCGGACAGCGCAAAAUGCGUACACAUAACACGCCACUUGGCUUAAGAAAAUCGACGCGUCUGUUUACGCAAAGUCACGAAGCCAUGU